UAAAAGUGCAAUUACUACCUUUCAAACUGUCUCAUGUAGUAUACAAGUAUCUGGUAAGUGAGUUAACCAACUUGCAUUCAUGAAAGUAUUGUAAAAUUUGAGGUUAACGCAAAUUUAAAACAACCUUUUUCUCUCAAGUUAUCAAUCAUUGUCUGAAUUGGAUGCGUGUCUUUUGGGUUUAUUAAUGGCAUUUCCUUUGAGUUGUCACAGAGUCGAGAACCAAUAAUAUCAAAGUCCCGUGAAAUCAGAAGACCAAAUUCUGCAAAUGAGGUCGAGGCGGCUGACGAACGGGGGCGGAUUUUUCGACAGCACAUGUUGCCUCGAGCAAAACAAGGGUAAAAAUAUGUCCCUACGCCAUGCAGAGUCCCUAGACAGCCAUGUUGUUUACUGCCGAUUAACAAAGGGAAGGGAAGUCAGGACUGUGACACCAGGUAAUGUGAACGAGGUGCAACAAUACCACAGCGGGAACACAGGAAGAAUUCCAAAGCAGCGAGGCAGAGGGAGGGAAUGAGCCGAGCUCAGAGGCGGCGAGAAAGACAAAGAGGAAGAAAUAUUGAGAGGGAGCGAGAGAAGGAGACAGUGACACGCCUCGCCAUCGAUCCUCAUCGCCAAACCCUUCCUAACAGGAUGGGAAGAAAAGGUUGCUCGAGGUCAUCGAGGUUCAAUACUGAUAGAGGGAGCUCUGAUUUUCAGGCGCGGACACGUGUGUCUAUACUAGUUGGACAAAUGCAGGAUGGGGAGUCUGCCAAAGGAUCAAACAGGCACAAGUGGUGCACCAGCUGGUACCGUGGAGAAUACCUUGGAUUCCUGCGGCACCGCGACUGACGUAGCUCUGCACAGGUCAAAGGAUUCAGGUUUGUUAGUGACAAAGAUGAGUAACAGGAAGGAAGAGGAAGGUAGAAAGCGGCUGCCUUUGUUUGAGGUGUUUUUAGCUGCUUGCUUUCUGUCUCUACGUCACAGCUUUUUGGAAACAACAUAAACAUCCAGUCUAAAGCACUUAACUCUUAUUACUGCUUUCCUCAAAGAGAAUCAGGCAAAUACAUUUAAGAAUGUUAUUUUUUUCGAGAACAUUUGAAGUACAAAAGCAUUAUAUAUUCACAAAACAUAUUUUUAUACAGGCUUAAAAGAGCUUUAUCCUAAAUAUACCUUUCUAUGGAUAUUAAUGCCCUCACGGUUGAAUCAUCAUUCAAUAAGCUUAGCUUUCAUAUAAUGACAGUGUGACACUAUAUCUUUGCCUAUAUUUAGGUUACCCUUUUCUGUCCCCGAGAAGCCAAGUGUCAGAUGGAUAAAUAUGACUUAUUUCGCUCUUCCGCUCUCCUCUCACUGGAUGUCUAUCACCACACCUGAACAAAUAAGAGCACUGCUCUGCUCAUAUCACUCCUGCUAGGAAACUUGUACUGGUGCAAAGACACAGUCAGUCGGCCGGGAUCCUCCGUAAAACCCAGUUUGAAAUUGAGUCAUCUACGAAAAACAUAUUGAAAUUAUAUAUUGAUACUGUGUGAACUCAUCCAAACAGGCAUUCUGGGUACACUUAAGGAUGUUUUCAUCACAACAUGUUUCAAAUAUUUCUGAGGUGUUUGAAGCUGUGAGAUUUAAAGGAGACAUGCAAAUUUUCAGGUUCAUAAUUUUAUUUUGGAUCACCACUAGAACAGGUUGACAUGCUUUAGUGCUCAAAAAAACACAUCAGUUUUCUCAGACUGCACUGCACUGGGCUCUGUUUUAGCUCCUGUAUCUUUAAGUGCCCCCCCACCCCCCACCCAGGUCUGCUCUGAUUGGUCAGCUCGCACAUGCUUGAGCUAGCACUGCUAACAAAAACAGAGCAGCUUUGCUUAAUUAAUUCGUACAUGCCAAACUAGCCACUUCGCAUGAAUUAUGCAAAUGUUCGACAAGUGUGACGUCACAAAGUCGCAGAAUUAAAGGCGGGGCUACUGAUGUUUCAGGACCAGUGUUGGAGGGAUGAGCUCCAAUUGAU